AGCGAACGCUAGCGGCGGGCUUAACACAUGCAAGUCGAGCGCCUCUCUUCGGAGAGGAGCGGCGAACGGGUGAGUAACACGUAGGUUACCUGCCCCUAGGUGAGGGACAACCGAGGGAAACUUCGGCUAAUACCACAUAUGGGCUACGGCUCAAAGGCUUCGGCCGCCUGGGGAUGGGCCUGCGUCCCAUUAUUUAGUCCUUGUUGGUGGGGUAAUGGCCUACCAAGGGUACGAUGGGUAGCUGGUCUGAGAGGAUGAUCAGCCACACUGGGACUGAGACACGGCCCAG
rnacentral:rRNA from 1 species